ACAUCCAGAGUUUCCAUCCGACUAAGAGCGGGGGGAGGCGGAGGGUGAGCGGAGUGGCAUCGUGAUGGCGGUGGUCGGGAGGAUUUAAGUAAACGGCGGCGGAGCAACACGACACUUAUUCAGGCUUGUCCCUGGCCGAUUUGGGGCCCCUAUUGUUCAAGCCGGUGAGGGCUGCAGGCGGGCCCGCCGCGUGGGGCUGUAAGGAGCCGGCGGACCAGGCCCUGUGGCGGCCGCAGAAGCAGCCUCCGACCCUAGGUUGCAGCACAGACCUCCGUGGGGCGUAGCGCCGUCUCGGACCAGGGCAGCCCUAGGGAGGCCGGGCCGGGCGCACACACGCAGGUAAUUUGGGAAAAAUCUUCAGUAGUUGCAUUGAACAGUUAACAAGUCACCUGGAAAACAGAGUACCAAGAAGUAUAUUCUUGACAUCUGCCUUCUAACCUAACCUGAGUGGACUUCUAUUUAUCUUUUAAACUUCUUAAUAUUUACAAUGAAUGGACACAGUGAUGAAGACGUUGUAAGAAACAGUAGUGGACAGUCAAGAAGCUGUGGAAAGCCUGUAGUAUUCUCAGCAAUAGGAGGACUGGAGAAGGAGAUAAUUGGAAACCUUAGAUUAUAUACAGUGGACAGCACCGUGGUAAGAAAUUGUAGUUGUCCUCUGUUCCCCGUGACUGGCUACGAAGAAGCAUUUCUGAAGCAUGUGGGAAAGAAAUGGCCAAUUUGCUAUGCUCCUGUGUUCCUUUCCACCGUUGAGUCUCUUCAUCUGGCUGGUAGAUGACCAUAAAUCUUUCCAUUGCUGCAGGUGCUGAGCCUGAAGUUCUGUUUGGCCACAAG